CCCAGACGCGCCGCCGCUGCCAUGGCCCAGCCCCUGUGCCCGCCGCUCUCCGAGUCCUGGAUGCUCUCUGCGGCCUGGGGCCCAACUCGGCGGCCGCCGCCCUCCGACAAGGACUGCGGCCGCUCCCUCGUCUCGUCCCCAGACUCAUGGGGCAGCACCCCAGCCGACAGCCCCGUGCCGAGCCCCGCGCGGCCCGGCACCCGCCGGGACCCCCGCGCCCCCUCCGUAGGUAGGCGCGGCGCGCGCAGCAGCCGCCUGGGCAGCGGGCAGAGGCAGAGCGCCAGUGAGCGGGAGAAACUGCGCAUGCGCACGCUGGCCCGCGCCCUGCACGAGCUGCGCCGCUUUCUACCGCCGUCCGUGGCGCCCACCGGCCAGAGCCUGACCAAGAUCGAGACGCUGCGCCUGGCUAUCCGCUAUAUCGGCCACCUGUCGGCCGUGUUAGGCCUCAGCGAGGAGAGUCUCCAGCGCCGGUGCCGGCAGCGCGGUGACGCGGGGUCCCCUCGGGGCUGCCCGCUGUGCCCCGACGACUGCCCCGCGCAGAUGCAGACACGGACGCAGGCUGAGGGGCAGGGGCAGGGGCGCGGGCUGGGCCUGGUAUCCGCCGUCCGCGCCGGGGCGUCCUGGGGAUCCCCGCCUGCCUGCCCCGGAGCCCGAGCUGCACCCGAGCCGCGCGACCCGCCUGCGCUGUUCGCCGAGGCGGCGUGCCCGGAAGGGCAGGCGAUGGAGCCAAGCCCACCGUCCCCGCUCCUUCCGGGCGACGUGCUGGCUCUGUUGGAGACCUGGAUGCCCCUCUCGCCUCUGGAGUGGCUGCCUGAGGAGCCCAAGUGACAAGGGACAACUGACGCCGUCUCUGUGAGCACCGAGGCUUUUUGGCCUCAGCACCUUCGAAGUGGUUCCUUGGCAGACUGCCUUUCCUGGAAGAGGGCACGGGCGAUCCCGACGGGGGCAUUCCUGCGGGUGCCUAUUAUACUCAAGUAACCAUUUUACAGAAGGAUGAGGAUCAGCGCUCAAGCCCAGGUAGGCCUCCAGAGUCCCAGCGCUCAGCUCUUGUGGGAUUUUGCCAGCUCCAUACAUGUUGGGGCCUGAGGGAUAACAGCUCCAAGGGGUUAUUUUCUUGCAUCCUGGGGUCUUAUUCUCCAUGCACUGGAGCAUCCUGGCCUUGGAACUCCCCCACCCUCCGCCGGCAUUUUCCCAUCCGCCUUUUUUCUGGUUUCCCCACCUUGUGGCUUAGAGACAUAAAUAAUGGUGUGGCGGUCCUGAGUUUAUAUAACCAUGACCUCCUACAGGCCUAGCUGGGGUGAGAUGAGGGGUCCAUGGGGUUGCAUCGGAAUCCACACAGGCAGUUGCGUGCCUGUCUGCAUUGGCUGGAUUCACAUCAGGGAGCAAGAAACGGGAGGCUUGAGCCCAGAAAGCGUGUCCUCAUCCAGCCAGGGUGUCUGGGGAACAGUCAUGAUUAGAGGGUGCGGUGGGGAGAAGGGAUGUGUAGCUCUCUGCCAAGCGUCCUUUACCCUCUGUGGAUAGAUACCCAGUUCUCCCCUCCUCUCCUUCAAGUGUCUGAAACACAGGCUUUAGUGUCUGUUUUUAUAAGAGCUUUAUUAAGAUACAAUUCACAUACCAUAAAAUUCACUCUUUUAACAAUUGAAUGGCUUUAGUACAUCCACAGAGUUGUGCAAGCAUUGCCACUAAUUUUAGAACAUUUUCACCCCCCAAAAGAAACCGUAUACCUGUUAACAUCACUCCCCACUAUUCCCCUACUCCCAGUCCCUGGCACUCACUCUUCUAGUCUCUGUCUCUAUAGGUUUGCUUUUUCAGGACAUUUCAUAUAAAAGGAAUCGCAAAA